CACGUUAAAACAUCGAUUCCCGUUCGAUCAACGAAGUUAAGCAACGUCGAGAUUGGUCACUACCCAGUUGGGUAACCUCUUGGAAAUCCCUGGUGCUGUAAG